rnacentral:rRNA from 1 species
CCCCUAGACGUUCUGGGCUGCACGCGCGCUACAAUAAUACGCACAGCGAGUAUCACCGAGCUCGAAAGGGCAAGGUAAACAAUAGAAAAGGUACUGUAAUGGUUAUAGAUCCUUGUAAUUAUUGAUCUUCAACGAGGAAUUCCUAGUAAGUAUGCGUCAUCAUCACGCACUGAUUACGUCCCUGCCCUUUGUACACACCGCCCGUCGCUCCUACCGAUUGGGUGAGCCGAUGAAACUCUCGGAUGUAGGCUAUUCAUAGCCCGCAGAAGAGAUUUGAAUCGUAGCGCUUAGAGGAAGGAGAAGUCGUAACA